rnacentral:rRNA from 1 species
UGGGGGAUAUUGCGCAAUGGGGGAAACCCUGACGCAGCGACGCCGCGUGAGCGAAGAAGGCCUUCGGGUUGUAAAGCUCAGUCAUCGGGGACGAAGAGGACGGUACCCGAGGAGGAAGCCCCGGCUAACUACGUGCCAGCAGCCGCGGUAAUACGUAGGGGGCGAGCGUUGUCCGGAAUUACUGGGUGUAAAGGGCGUGUAGGCGGUGAUGCAAGUUAUCGGUAAAAACCCGGGGCUCAACUCCGGGCUUGCCGAUAAAACUGCAUCACUUGAGUGCAGGAGAGGGAAGUGGAAUUCCCGGAGUAGCGGUGAAAUGCGUAGAUA